UGAUUAUUUGGACGGACUGUGCUACUCACUUGAUCCUUAUGGUGCCUUUUAGGAAUCGCAAUUGAAGCUUCAGCUUAAGGACACUGUCAGUUCUUCGCCUCGGGAAGAGCUUGAAGCUGAAGAUGCCAACAGCAACGGGAAACCCAUAACAGAGGAAGAAACACUAGAAGUAAAGGAGGAAACUGCUCUUAUGCAGGUGGCUGUAGUAGCUGCAAUGUGCUACUUUCCAACAGGGCCUUUUAAAUUAUUGCUUGGUGUAUGUGAUGUGAAACAUGGCCUUACAGCUGCUGUGAAUGCCGCUAAGCUAGUGGUAUCUCCUGUUUCUUGUUCCUUUUCUCUCUCAGCAGCAGCCAGGUGCUGGUAUGGAUUAUCUGACCGAGGACAAUGAAGCUGCUGCAGACAUGAUCAGAUAUGUAGGACAUGACUCCAACGUCCACCUGAAGUCUUUGAAGUCAGACAUCGUUUCGGUUACAGGGAGGGAGAUGACUGCCACCAAGCCGUCGACUCCUUUUUCACAGAAAGAGUUUGAAGCCCUUGCAAUGCUGGAACACCUGCAAGUGCAGCUCAUAGAAACAGAGAUCCGUGCCCAGAAUGCAGAGGAGAGAUCUGAGGGUCUUGAAGAGAAGCUGGAAGAAGCUCUGCAGAGAAUCAAAGAGCUAGAGAGUGAGCUGGAGAAAGAAGGGAAAGUCACCCCAGAAGCCACACACGAAGAAGGGCAAGAAAAAUAUUUCCAAGAAAAUGUCCCAGAAGUAGAGGCCUGCUUGAGUCCCAAAACUUCUACCUCUGAUGAGUCCGAAGGAUCCGGAGAAAGCGAAUAUUAAAGAACAGUAAUGCCUGAGUAGUUUCUCAGAGCCCAUUCAACUCACCCCUGAUCCACUGCCUUACUUCUCAUUCACUACCCCAACAUCUCUGUGCUAUCUCAGCAUUUAUGCUGUUCUUCUAGCUGGCUCUGCCACUUCUACAUCUGUCUUCUUUGUCCUCUACUGCCUUCCACAGCUCUAAUAUCUUUACAGAUUGUCUUCCUUGUAAUACCAUAGCAACUUUGUCUUUCUCCUGCCUGUGCACCCUCCCUCCCUUCCCUUGCCUUGUGCUUGCCUCUUGGUUGUGUUCAUCAAUCUCUUCUUGCUGCUCUACAUCAUUCUGCCUUAUCCCUGGUGGAUCAUUCAAGUAAAUCAUUUGCACCUCUUUCCUCUUGUACCAAGGUUGGUUUUUUUUCCCCAGUGCCAGCAUGGCUUGGUUGUGUAUCUGAUAAUGGGUACCUCCUUCAUCCCCUGGGCUUUAGAUGAUUCAGUUACCAGCUGACUGGUUAGGAAGAAAUUGUACAGAAAUUGUGCAGAAUUGUAUGGACAAAUUUUUGUUUGUCUUUGAAUGUU
rnacentral:lncRNA from 1 species